AACGAACGCUGGCGGCAGGCUUAACACAUGCAAGUCGUGCGAGACCUUCGGGUCUAGCGGCGGACGGGUGAGUAACGCGUGGGAACGUGCCCUUCUCUACGGAAUAGCCCCGGGAAACUGGGAGUAAUACCGUAUACGCCCUUUGGGGGAAAGAUUUAUCGGAGAAGGAUCGGCCCGCGUUGGAUUAGGUAGUUGGUGGGGUAAUGGCCCACCAAGCCGACGAUCCAUAGCUGGUUUGAGAGGAUGAUCAGCCACACUGGGACUGAGACACGGCCCAGACUCCUACGGGAGGCAGCAGUGGGGAAUCUUAGACAAUGGGGGCAACCCUGAUCUAGCCAUGCCGCGUGAGUGAUGAAGGCCUUAGGGUUGUAAAGCUCUUUCAGCUGGGAAGAUAAUGACGGUACCAGCAGAAGAAGCCCCGGCUAACUCCGUG
rnacentral:rRNA from 1 species